UGAACGCUAGCGGCAGGCUAACACAUGCAAGUCGAGGGGCAUCGGGAGUAGCAAUACUUGCCGGCGACCGGCGCAAGGGUGCGUAACGCGUGAGCAACAUGCCCGUAUCAGGGGGAUAAUCCAUGGAAACGUGGUCUAAUACCCCAUAGUAAUUAUGUAAGGCAUCUUAUAUAAUUUAAAGCUUUGGUGGAUACGGAUUGGCUCGCGUGACAUUAGCUAGAUGGUAAGGUAACGGCUUACCAUGGCUACGAUGUCUAGGGGUUCUGAGAGGAAGGUCCCCCACACUGGAACUGAGACACGGUCCAGACUCCUACGGGAGGCAGCAGUGAGGAAUAUUGGACAAUGGAUGGAAAUCUGAUCCAGCCAUGCCGCGUGCAAGGAAGACGGCCCUAUGGGUUGUAAACUGCUUUUGUAUGGGAGCAAUAAGGGCUACGCGUAGUCCGAUGAGAGUACCAUACGAAUAAGCACCGGCUAACUCCGUGCCAGCAGCCGC
rnacentral:rRNA from 1 species